UCCCUCUUAGCUCAGUGGUAGAGCGCGUCACUAGUAUGAUAUCAUUCAUAUGACGAGGUCAGUCGUUCAAGUCGGCUAGAGGGAA